GGUCCCAUCUGGCUCAGUUGGUAGAGCAUGGCGCUUGCAACGCCAGGGAUGUGGGUUUGAUUCCCAUGUGGAACCA